GACGAACGCUGGCGGCGUGCUUAACACAUGCAAGUCGAGCGGUAAGGCCCUUUCGGGGGUACACGAGCGGCGAACGGGUGAGUAACACGUGGGUGACCUGCCCUCCACUCUGGGAUAAGCCCGGGAAACUGGGUCUAAUACCGGAUAGGACACAUGAUCGCAUGGUUGUGUGUGGAAAGUUUUUUCGGUGGGGGAUGGGCCCGCGGCCUAUCAGCUUGUUGGUGGGGUAAUGGCCUACCAAGGCGGUGACGGGUAGCCGGCCUGAGAGGGCGACCGGCCACACUGGGACUGAGACACGGCCCAGACUCCUACGGGAGGCAGCAGUGGGGAAUAUUGCGCAAUGGGCGGAAGCCUGACGCAGCGACGCCGCGUGGGGGAUGACGGCCUUCGGGUUGUAAACCUCUUUCGCCAGGGACGAAGCUUUUGUGACGGUACCUGGAGAAGAAGCACCGGCCAACUACGUGCCAGCCGCCGCAGUAA
rnacentral:rRNA from 1 species